GAGGUAAUGGCUCACCAAGGCGACGACGGGUAGCCGGCCUGAGAGGGCGACCGGCCACACUGGGACUGAGACACGGCCCAGACUCCUACGGGAGGCAGCAGUGGGGAAUACUGGGCAAUGGAGGAAACUCUGACCCAGCGACGCCGCGUGAGGGAUGAAGGCCUUCGGGUUGUAAACCUCCUUCAGUAGGGAAGAAGCGAAAGUGACGGUACCUACAGAAGAAGCACCGGCUAACUAUGUGCCAGCAGCCGCGGUAAUACAUGGGGUGCAAGCGUUGUCCGGAAUUAUUGGGCGUAAAGAGCUCGUAGGUGGUUCGAUACGUCGGAUGUGAAAAUCAGGGGCUCAACCCCUGACCUGCAUCCGAUACGGUCGAGCUAGAGUUUGGUAGGGGAGACUGGAAUUCCUGGUGUAGCGGUGGAAUGCGCAGAUAUCAGGAGGAACACCGAUGGCGAAGGCAGGUCUCUGGGCCAAUACUGACACUGAGGAGCGAAAGCGUGGGGAGCGAACAGGAUUAGAUACCCUGGUAGUCCACGCCGUAAACGGUGGGCGCUAGUUGUGCGAACCUUCCACGGUUUGUGCGACGCAGCUAACGCAUUAAGCGCCCCGCCUGGGGAG
rnacentral:rRNA from 1 species